rnacentral:ribozyme from 13 species
ACAAACAUAACAGAAGUUAAACCUAAACCAAAGUAUUUUUCUACUUCUUUUCUAAUGCAAUUUGCAAUUUCUUCUUUCUCUUUUUCUUUCUUCUUUAUCUCAACAAACACAGCGAUCUCUUGAACAAUAACAUCUUGAGAAGAGGAAGAAGAAAGAAUAGUGAAAGAACAGAAAGAAGAAGAGAUAGCAGAGUGGGAGUGUGUUGCAAUGUAUUCUACGUCUCGGAGAGAAAAAUAACGAGAAGAAAGAAGAAAAGAAGGAGAGGAGGUGUCUUUUAAGUACACUUUUCCAUGGUGAAUAAACCCUAAAUCUCCUGUUCUUGAAGAAUUAAAUGGAGAAGAAGGGAAUGGAGA